rnacentral:rRNA from 1 species
GAUGAACGCUAGCGGGAGGCCUAACACAUGCAAGCCGAGCGGUAUUGUUUCUUCGGACAUGAGAGAGCGGCGUACGGGUGCGUAACACGUGUGCAACCUGCCUUUAUCUGGGGGAUAGCCUUUCGAAAGGAAGAUUAAUACUCCAUAAUAUAUUGAACGGCAUCGUUUAAUAUUGAAAGCUCCGGCGCAUAGAGAUGGGCACGCGCAAGAUUAGCUAGUUGGUGAGGUAACGGCUCACCAAGGCGAUGAUCUUUAGGGGGCCUGAGAGGGUGAUCCCCCACACUGGUACUGAGACACGGACCAGACUCCUACGGGAGGCAGCAGUGAGGAAUAUUGGUCAAUGGGUGCAAGCCUGAACCAGCCAUCCCGCGUGAAGGACGACUGCCCUAUGGGUUGUAAACUUCUUUUGUAUAGGGAUAAACCUACCCUCGAGAGGGUAGCUGAAGGUACUAUACGAAUAAGCACCGGCUAACUCCGUG